rnacentral:rRNA from 1 species
AUUGAACGCUGGCGGCAGGCCUAACACAUGCAAGUCGAGCGGAUGAAGGGAGCUUGCGCCUGGAUUCAGCGGCGGACGGGUGAGUAAUGCCUAGGAAGCUGCCUGGUAUUUGGGGAUAACGUCCGUAAACGGGCGCUAAUACCGCAUAGGUCCUGAGGGAGAAAGGGGGGGAUCUUCGGACCUCACUCUAUCAGAUGAGCCUAGGUCGGAUUAGCUAGUUGGUGGGGUAACGGCCUACCAAGGCGACGAUCCGUAACUGGUCUGAGAGGAUGAUCAGUCACACUGGAACUGAGACACGGUCCAGACUCCUACGGGAGGCAGCAGUGGGGAAUAUUGGACAAUGGGCGAAAGCCUGACCCAGCCAUGCCGCGUGUGUGAAGAAGGUUUUCGGAUUGUAAAGCACUUUUAGUUGGGAAGAACGGCCGUAAGUUAAUCCCUUGCUGUUUUGACGUUACCAACAGAAUAAGCACCGGCUAACUUCGUG